rnacentral:rRNA from 1 species
UACGGAGGGGGCGAGCGUUAUUCGGAAUUAUUGGGCGUAAAGGGCGCGUAGGCGGCCUGAUAAGUCAAAGGUGAAAUCCCUCGGCUCAACUGAGGAAUUGCCUUUGAAACUGUCAGGCUUGAGGCCGGGAGGGGGUGGCGGAAUUCCCAGUGUAGCGGUGAAAUGCGUAGAUAUUGGGAGGAACACCAGUGGCGAAGGCGGCCACCUGGACCGGUUCUGACGCUGAUGCGCGAAAGCGUGGGGAGCAAACAGGG